rnacentral:lncRNA from 1 species
CUUGAGUAGAGCAUGUCUGGUCUUGGGUGCUGGGAGAUGGGAAAAGAGUGAUUAUUUCCCCUUAAUUUCCACAGUGGGAAGACUUGGCAAGAUAGCUCUGGAAGAUAGCUCCAGCUCAGGAAGAAGACCCUGCAGCCCAUUUCCUUUCAAAAGGCAGAGAUGAACAUUUUCCCUGGCCGUCUUGAAAUACACCAAUAUGUUUGGAAAUAAAGAGACUUGGCUUCCUGGUCCUGCUCUAAGAUGGGAGCUUAAACCUAUGGAAUGUGACACCACUUUGGGCAAAAACAGAAUUCUUAGCAAAGAAAUCAUUGAUGUUAAGAAACAGUACACAAUUGCCUCAGAGAGGCACCAUGUGUUUCCAAAGUGUGAAUCUGAAAACCAUCCAUCUGGGCAUGUUGGCAUCUUCCUGAAUCGUAUGUGAUUGAAAGAAAUAUUUUCAACAUUUUUCAAGUCUUUGACUACAUGAGAAAGAGAAUAAGGUAAAGGAGAUCUUUUUUCAUUUCCAGUUAUUGAGAAUCAAGUAUGAUCCUUAGAUUGGAAUACCUUGCCCACCCUUCUGCCUGGAUAGCCCCAAUCAUUCAUCAAGACUCAGGUCACCAGUGGCAUUCUUAGUGAAUUACUCUGUCACCCUAGCUCUUUAUUUGUCGCAUAACUAACUCUAUGCAUACUCAUAUGAAAAUGCUUAUUUACUUUGAUUAAAAUUAUUUCUUCAACUGUUGCUUCCCCUAUAAUCUAUGAGCUCCUAAAAUGAAAAGCAGAUGGUCUUUAAUGCAAUUCAAUUCAACAAAUAUUAUUACAAUGCUCCAGAUACUAAUCUAGAAGCUGCAGAGACAAUUCUGAAUAAGAAGAGAGCAUUUUUGCCCUCCAGAAUUUACAAUCUAGCUGGGCAGAGAGAAAUUGAACAAGUAAUUAGACUUAAAGAUGAUUCUUGGUGAGGAGUUAGGAUAACUGCAUCUGAAACCUCACAUAGACAAAAAUAAAGUUGAAAGUUCAAACUUACUUUAAUAUUGUUUUUAUUAAUAGUACUUUUUGUGUUGUAUGACAUAGAUAUUCAGAGUGAUUUUCUAGAUUGUUGAGAUCAUCAUACAUAUUUCUUGUGAAGCUAAGUAAUAGUCACUAAAUUAUGGGCCAGGCAUAUGGCUAGGUUUAUGUAUGUAUAUGUACACACAAGUUAUAUUAUAUAUAACUUAUAGUGAAUUUACAAGCCCUCUAUGACCAAGUUACUUUAUUUUUUGAAACUUAAAUUAAUCCUAAAAGUAAAGGUUUUUUUUUUCAAAUCAUUUAAAAAGCAGAUAAAUUAUAUUGCAUCAUUAUAGCCUCAAACACAUGGUAUCAAAAUAUGGCCACAUGUUAAUCAAUAAAACGAAUAACUUUGUGGUAAACUAAGAGACUGAGAAAUCUUGCCACUAAACAUUAAAGGCAGAGUGACUUCCAUGUUUUGAUCGUGUUAGAGUUGUCUGAGUCAUUUUAGGCUGGCCUAACAGAAUACCAAUGGACUGGGUAGCUUAAACAGCAGAAGUGUAUUUCUUGCAGUUCUGAAGACUAGGAAGUCCAAGAUGAAGGUGCUGGCAGAUCUGGUGUCUGGUGAGGGCCCUUUUCCCUCUGGUGAGGGUUUGUAGAUGACUGCCUUCUCGUUGGAUUCUCACAUGGUGGACAGCAGAGAGAGAAGAAGCAAGCUCUCUUGUGUCUUUUAUAAAGAUGUUAAGCCCAUUCAUAGAGGCUCCACCCUUUUGACCUAAUAAUCUCCCAAAGGUGCAACCUCCUAAUACUGAUAUUUUGGAAGUUAAUAUAUCAACAUAUGAGUUUUGGAGAGACAUAAACAUUCAGUCCAUGGCAGGGUGCAUAACUGGUUCCAUUGUUCAAAGAAAAAUUCAGUAAAAAUAAAAAAUAAUAAUUCCAUCAGAUCUUGGUUAAGUUGAUUGUCACAGAAUUUGGUUCAUUAAUAAAAUAACCUGUUUCUACCCUAAAUGGGGAUACUUUGAUUAAGGUUUCCACUUACUAGUGACCAAAUUCCUCAAGAGAAAGCACUGUCUCUACUUUUUUCAAACCUCAUUCAUAGUAUUUGGGUUAGGAUUCUACACAAUAUGAGAGCUUUGUCAAAGUUGAGUAAAUCAACUUGGACCUCUUUUCUUCUUAUUAAAAUGCAACAAAUUUAAUUAAUAAACACCCUUUUAUUGAUACAGGUAUCCCCUGCUAUCUGAAUUCUCUCUUUUAAUGAAAAUUAUUUUCCUAUCCAAACUCUAGAACUGAAUUGAAGCUCUACUCUUCAGACCAAAAAAAGGUUGCAGAAUAUAAAUUUAGGCACUUUUUGGAGGGCUGGAGGUCUGUACACUGUUGUUAGGAAGAAACUGUCUACUCUCCAGCAGAGAUGAGAAAAAAAGGGGAAUUGUUACAAAAUUAAUAUGAGACCAGAUUAAAAGAUGUAUUGAAAGGAAAAGAGAGAUUAGAAUACCAGCCAGGAGGCAAUAAUAUUGAAAAAGUGAAGUUUUCAUAUCUUGUCAAAAGAAAAUGUUUACUUUUUCAAAGUUUUUUUAAUGUUGUAUAUUAUGAAUACAUUUGAAAUCCAAAUUAUUGUUCAGCCAUGUUGAAUAUAUUUGCUACUCUGACCAGUUUUUAGAAUGCUCUGAUGAAACUUGUGUGAUCUCCAAAUUUGUAUAGUGAAGAGAAAACCCUGAAAAUCUUUCACUUUGUCAUGCCUGCGCUGAGGGCAGAUGACUCACUGUAUGAAUUCAAGUUAAAUCACUUAACCUUUUUCUCUUAUUCAACCCAUCUGGGAAGCUGAAUACAAGCACUUCACUAUGAAACAGAUGGUGAGCCUAAGCUACAUUUUCCCAGAUUAAAAAAAGAAGAAUGUGUUAUAAGGACUAAAAGAACCAAAUGUGGAAAAAACGCAGGGAUUACACGGAAAAGAGCUAUAAGCUGGAUCAGACAUUUUCACCUGUAAAAAAUAAUGUAAUGCUUAAAAAAUAAGUCCUAGGAGAUGAUAUGGGGACAAAGUCAGUAAAACCUUUUCAUAAAGCACCAUAUGUGUAAUGUGGUCAUGAAUGUUGGUAUGUACAGUGAGUAAAAUGCUAUUUGUUUGCUGGUUCAUUUACCUGUAUGUCUCAGAAAACAAAUUUGGUUACUUUAGGAUACUUUUAGGUUAUCUAUUUGAUAACUGUAAAGCUAAAUGCUAAUAAAAACAUCUCGAGAAAAUUUAUGAGACCCAUCUAAAUUAUAGCUCCAGUGAAAUUUAACACUAGUUGGAAAACAAAAACUUUCCAAUAUGUUCUAGGAUAAUUGUUUUCUAAUCUUUUAUAUGCAUAUAAAUCACUUGGAAGUAAGGCAAGUUAUUGCCCCUUGGUAACUUUGGAUUUUAACUUUAUUAUGCAUAAAAUUAUAUUAAAUUCAAAUGUAUUUACAUGUGGAUAUUUAUAUCUGUCACAUUUUAUGGAAGAAGAAAUAUCUGUUGCAGCUAUUUUGAUAUUUUGAUGAAUAAAGUAGAACAUAUUAAAAAGUA